UGAAAUGAAUUUUUCUGAGGCUUUUGGUAGU
rnacentral:piRNA from 1 species